rnacentral:ncRNA from 1 species
UAUAACUACUAGGGGUGCCCAAAAAACGCGGGCUGAGAGGAAAGGCGUCUACAAGCUUUCCGACUCUUACGGACCUGAUCUGGCUAACACCAGCGUAGGGAAGUAGUCUGACAGCAAU